GUGGAAGAGCGGGUAGCAGGGAAUCAUUGCUAUGAUUUCAGGAAAGUCCGAACUUCGCAGAGCAAUAUGCUUCCUAACUAGAAGAUAGCGUAAGCUAUGGAAAGUGCCACAGAAAAAAUACAGCCAAUCCUGGAGCAAUCCGAAAUGGAGGCAAUGGUGAAAAGGUAGAGUAAGAGCCUACCGCCGAGAUGGUGACAUCGCGGGCAGGGCAAACCCCAAAUGAAGCAAGGCUAAGUAGGUCUGCACCACUUUAUUUAUUGUGGUCGAGUUGCUCGCUCGAUUGUUCGAUUGAACUGUGCAGAUGGGUAAGCCGCUUAAGUGCAAUGGCAACAUUACACUCAGAUAAAUUGCUACCUCGGAGAUAUUCAGCAAUUUUUAUUGAAAAAUAAUCAGGCUGAGUAUUUCUAGGACAAAAUUCGGCUUAUAGCUCUUCCAUCAUC
rnacentral:RNase_P_RNA from 1 species